UAAUUAGUGUAUCAUAGACUCAUUUAAUGUGUUAAUAAAGUUGUUUAAUCAAUAUAUAGACACACUCAUUUAAUAUAUUUAUUAGACUUUUCCAAUCCAUAUAUAGAAUUGACUUAUUUAAUAUAUAGACUUGUUUACUAGGUAUAUAGACAUACUUAUCUAUUUAAUCGAUCUAUUGACAAAGUCUUGUAAUGUGCAUUCCUAAUGUCAAAGAUGGUUAAGGACUUGCAUGCUCAUGUCAAGGCCAACAGAGAGGAAGUGGUGAAAAUGAACUUAUAUCCGAAGUGAUGAUCCUAUUUAUUGAGAUGACAACUUACCAUCUACACAUAUCAACAAAGCCAGGAAGAAUUAAUAACACAACUGCUCCAAACUCCUGAACAACAAUACUAUAUCUCAAAACUCUUGGGCUACAACUAUGAUAUUCAGUGCAAGGUGCAAGAAAUCUAUCCUACUGAUCAAGAGCUCAAUCAGCACUCAGUAAGUGGCUUCCGAAAUUGAAGGAUUAUCCUGAUUUACACCUUGUGGACAAAGUAUUUGUCCAUCCAUCAAAAAGGGGAUGAUAUGAUCCAUGAUGAAGAGACCAAGAAAGUAUAGAUUCAAUCCAUGAAAUAGAGGAAAAGUGCCAUAAAAUGC